UACGUAGGUGACCAGCGUUGUCCGGAUUUACUGGGCGUAAAGAGCGCGCAGGCGGUCGGUCAAGUCGAGUGUGAAAGCCCCCGGCUCAACUGGGGAGGGUCAUUCGAUACUGAUCGACUCGAAGGCAGGAGAGGGUAGUGGAAUUCCCGGUGUAGUGGUGAAAUGCGUAGAUAUCGGGAGGAACACCAGUGGCGAAGGCGACUACCUGGCCUGUUCUUGACGCUGAGGCGCGAAAGCUAGGGGAGCAAACGGG
rnacentral:rRNA from 1 species